GAUGAACGCUGGCGGCGUGCCUAAUACAUGCAAGUCGAGCGAACAGACGAGGAGCUUGCUCCUCUGACGUUAGCGGCGGACGGGUGAGUAACACGUGGAUAACCUACCUAUAAGACUGGGAUAACUUCGGGAAACCGGAGCUAAUACCGGAUAAUAUAUUGAACCGCAUGGUUCAAUAGUGAAAGACGGUUUUGCUGUCACUUAUAGAUGGAUCCGCGCCGCAUUAGCUAGUUGGUAAGGUAACGGCUUACCAAGGCAACGAUGCGUAGCCGACCUGAGAGGGUGAUCGGCUACACUGGAACUGAGACACGGUCCAGACUACUACGGGAGGCAGCAGUAGGGAAUCUUCCGCAAUGGGCGAAAGCCUGACGGAGCAACGCCGAGUGAGUGAUGAAGGUCUUCGGAUCGUAAAACUCUGUUAUUAGGGAAGAACAAAUGUGUAAGUAACUAUGCACGUCUUGACGGUACCUAAUCAGAAAGCCACGGCUAACUACGUG
rnacentral:rRNA from 1 species